rnacentral:rRNA from 1 species
UACGGGGGGGGGCAAGCGUUGUUCGGAAUUACUGGGCGUAAAGGGCGCGUAGGCGGCCUGCUAAGUCGGACGUGAAAUCCCUCGGCUCAACCGGGGAACUGCGUCCGAUACUGGUGGGCUCGAAUCCGGGAGAGGGAUGUGGAAUUCCAGGUGUAGCGGUGAAAUGCGUAGAUAUCUGGAGGAACACCGGUGGCGAAGGCGGCAUCCUGGACCGGUAUUGACGCUGAGGUGCGAAAGCGUGGGGAGCAAACAGG